rnacentral:rRNA from 1 species
GAUGAACGCUGGCGGCGUGCCUAAUACAUGCAAGUCGAGCGAACAGACGAGGAGCUUGCUCCUCUGACGUUAGCGGCGGACGGGUGAGUAACACGUGGAUAACCUACCUAUAAGACUGGGAUAACUUCGGGAAACCGGAGCUAAUACCGGAUAAUAUAUUGAACCGCAUAGUUCAAUAGUGAAAGACGGUUUUGCUGUCACUUAUAGAUGGAUCCGCGCCGCAUUAGCUAGUUGGUAAGGUAACGGCUUACCAAGGCAACGAUGCGUAGCCGACCUGAGAGGGUGAUCGGCCACACUGGAACUGAGACACGGUCCAGACUCCUACGGGAGGCAGCAGUAGGGAAUCUUCCGCAAUGGGCGAAAGCCUGACGGAGCAACGCCGCGUGAGUGAUGAAGGUCUUCGGAUCGUAAAACUCUGUUAUAGGGAAGAACAAAUGUGUAAGUAACUAUGCACGUCUUGACGGUACCUAAUCAGAAAGCCACGGCUAACUACGUG